GUAGAAGGCAACGUCUGAGGGACCUAUUUUAGUUUUGCACAAGCAGACCAGUCUGGUCGUCGGAAAAAUGUAUAACCAGAAACCGACGGUGGAUCCUGAAGUCCCUUUUGCCAAGAGAAUAGAUCCAAACAAGGAGGAUCUUACCAGGGACGAGUUCUACUUCAUCAGACAAGUGGAGCUUGCGCAAUGGAAGAAGAAAUCUCAGCAACUGAGGGGCCGUAAUAUUGCAACAGGACUUGCAAUCGGAGCCUUUGUAUUGGGAAUUUAUGCCUACACGUUUUACUCAGUGAAACAGGAGAAGAUCAUGGAUGAGCUGGAUGAGGAGGCCAAGUUCGCGAGGAUGAGGGGGGCAAAGACAGGCACCAACUGACAUGGCAAUCAGAUGACUUAGCUCAGAUGGACUGUGUGGUGUGCCACCUAUAUUAUCUCCUGAAGGGACUAAUGCUGACGCAUUGUCAACUUUCAAAGGCAGCAUCUGACCCUGUUUUGCCCAGGAUUUAUAGGUUUUUAUAAUUAUUGGUACUGCCCCCAUUCGUGCUCAGCCCACUCCUGUACUCCCUGUUCAGCAACGAAAGCGUGGCCAAGCACGCCUCCAACUCAAUCAUCAAG